rnacentral:rRNA from 1 species
AAACCAACAGGGAUUGCCUCAGUAACGGCGAGUGAAGCGGUAAAAGCUCAAAUUUGAAAUCUGGUACUUUCAGUGCCCGAGUUGUAAUUUGUAGAAUUUGUCUUUGAUUAGGUCCUUGUCUAUGUUCCUUGGAACAGGACGUCAUAGAGGGUGAGAAUCCCGUUUGGCGAGGAUACCUUUUCUCUGUAAGACUUUUUCGAAGAGUCGAGUUGUUUGGGAAUGCAGCUCAAAGUGGGUGGUAAAUUCCAUCUAAAGCUAAAUAUUGGCGAGAGACCGAUAGCGAACAAGUACAGUGAUGGAAAGAUGAAAAGAACUUUGAAAAGAGAGUGAAAAAGUACGUGAAAUUGUUGAAAGGGAAGGGCAUUUGAUCAGACAUGGUGUUUUUGCAUGCACUCGCCUCUCGUGGGCUUGGGCCUCUCAAAAAUUUCACUGGGCCAACAUCAAUUCUGGCAGCAGGAUAAAUCAUUAAGAAUGUAGCUACUUCGGUAGUGUUAUAGCUUUUUGGAAUACUGUUAC